rnacentral:rRNA from 1 species
AGCGUACACGGUGGAUGCCCUGGCAGUCAGAGGCGAUGAAGGACGUGCUAAUCUGCGAAAAGCGUCGGUAAGGUGAUAUGAACCGUUACAGCCGGCGAUGUCCGAAUGGGGAAACCCAGUGCAAUUCGUUGCACUAUCGUUAACUGAAUACAUAGGUUAACGAGGCGAACCGGGGGAACUGAAACAUCUAAGUACCCCGAGGAAAAGAAAUCAACCGAGAUUCCCCCAGUAGCGGCGAGCGAACGGGGAGCAGCCCGGAGUCUGAAUCAGCUUGUGUGUUAGUGGAAGCGUCUGGAAAGUCGCAGGGUACAGGGUGAUACUCCCGUACACUAAAACACACAGGCUGUGAACUCGAAGAGUAGGGCGGGACACGUGGUAUCCUGUCUGAAUAUGGGGGGACCAUCCUCCAAGGCUAAAUACUCCUGACUGACCGAUAGUGAACCAGUACCGUGAGGGAAAGGCGAAAAGAACCCCGGCGAGGGGAGUGAAAAAGAACCUGAAACCGUGUACGUACAAGCAGUAGGAGCCCACUAGUUGGGUGACUGCGUACCUUUUGUAUAAUGGGUCAGCGACUUAUAUUCUGUAGCAAGGUUAACCGAAUAGGGGAGCCGCAGGGAAACCGAGUCUUAACUGGGCGUUAAGUUGCAGGGUAUAGACCCGAAACCCGGUGAUCUAGCCAUGGGCAGGUUGAAGGUUGGGUAACACUAACUGGAGGACCGAACCGACUAAUGUUGAAAAAUUAGCGGAUGACUUGUGGCUGGGGGUGAAAGGCCAAUCAAACCGGGAGAUAGCUGGUUCUCCCCGAAAGCUAUUUAGGUAGCGCCUCGUGAAUUCAUCUUCGGGGGUAGAGCACUGUUUCGGCUAGGGGGUCAUCCCGACUUACCAACCCGAUGCAAACUACGAAUACCGAAGAAUGUUAUCACGGGAGACACACGGCGGGUGCUAACGUCCGUCGUGAAGAGGGAAACAACCCAGACCGCCAGCUAAGGUCCCAAAGUCAUGGUUAAGUGGGAAACGAUGUGGGAAGGCCCAGACAGCCAGGAUGUUGGCUUAGAAGCAGCCAUCAUUUAAAGAAAGCGUAAUAGCUCACUGGUCGAGUCGGCCUGCGCGGAAGAUGUAACGGGGCUAAACCAUGCACCGAAGCUGCGGCAGCGACACUAUGUGUUGUUGGGUAGGGGAGCGUUCUGUAAGCUGUUGAAGGUGGCCUGUGAGGGUUGCUGGAGGUAUCAGAAGUGCGAAUGCUGACAUAAGUAACGAUAAUGCGGGUGAAAAACCCGCACGCCGGAAGACCAAGGGUUCCUGUCCAACGUUAAUCGGGGCAGGGUGAGUCGACCCCUAAGGCGAGGCCGAAAGGCGUAGUCGAUGGGAAACAGGUUAAUAUUCCUGUACUUGGUGUUACUGCGAAGGGGGGACGGAGAAGGCUAUGUUGGCCGGGCGACGGUUGUCCCGGUUUAAGCAUGUAGGCGGAUGUUCCAGGUAAAUCCGGAACGUCACUAACGCUGAGGUGUGAUGACGAGGCACUACGGUGCUGAAGUGACAAAUGCCCUGCUUCCAGGAAAAGCCUCUAAGCAUCAGGUAACAUCAAAUCGUACCCCAAACCGACACAGGUGGUCAGGUAGAGAAUACCAAGGCGCUUGAGAGAACUCGGGUGAAGGAACUAGGCAAAAUGGUGCCGUAACUUCGGGAGAAGGCACGCUGAUGGUAAGUGAAGUGACUUGCUCAUGGAGCUGAAAUCAGUCGAAGAUACCAGCUGGCUGCAACUGUUUAUUAAAAACACAGCACUGUGCAAACACGAAAGUGGACGUAUACGGUGUGACGCCUGCCCGGUGCCGGAAGGUUAAUUGAUGGGGUUAUCCUCGCGGAGAAGCUCUUGAUCGAAGCCCCGGUAAACGGCGGCCGUAACUAUAACGGUCCUAAGGUAGCGAAAUUCCUUGUCGGGUAAGUUCCGACCUGCACGAAUGGCGUAAUGAUGGCCAGGCUGUCUCCACCCGAGACUCAGUGAAAUUGAACUCGCUGUGAAGAUGCAGUGUACCCGCGGCAAGACGGAAAGACCCCGUGAACCUUUACUAUAGCUUGACACUGAACACUGGUCCUUGAUGUGUAGGAUAGGUGGGAGGCUUUGAAGUGUGGACGCCAGUCUGCAUGGAGCCAUCCUUGAAAUACCACCCUUUAAUGGCUGGUGUUCUAACGUGGGCCCGUGAUCCGGGUUGCGGACAGUGUCUGGUGGGUAGUUUGACUGGGGCGGUCUCCUCCUAAAGAGUAACGGAGGAGCACGAAGGUCAGCUAAUCCUGGUCGGACAUCAGGAGGUUAGUGCAAUGGCAUAAGCUGGCUUGACUGCGAGCGUGACGGCGCGAGCAGGUGCGAAAGCAGGUCAUAGUGAUCCGGUGGUUCUGAAUGGAAGGGCCAUCGCUCAACGGAUAAAAGGUACUCCGGGGAUAACAGGCUGAUACCGCCCAAGAGUUCAUAUCGACGGCGGUGUUUGGCACCUCGAUGUCGGCUCAUCACAUCCUGGGGCUGAAGUAGGUCCCAAGGGUAUGGCUGUUCGCCAUUUAAAGUGGUACGCGAGCUGGGUUUAGAACGUCGUGAGACAGUUCGGUCCCUAUCUGCCGUGGGCGCUGGAGAAUUGAGGGGGGCUGCUCCUAGUACGAGAGGACCGGAGUGGACGCAUCACUGGUGUUCGGGUUGUCAUGCCAAUGGCAUUGCCCGGUAGCUAAAUGCGGAA